rnacentral:RNase_MRP_RNA from 1 species
UGAGUUUUUCAUGCUUGUCUCUCGGGGUCACAAACGAGUUCCUGGUAACUCUCGAUCAAUGCCCUGGGUAAAGUCCCCGGGCCUAGGAUAGAAAGUUUCAAGGUGUAAAAUUGCAUGUGCUCUUGCCUGCCCAGAGCAGGCACGCAUUCACCUAUAUUCCGCGGAAUUUCGCCUUGCAUAUGAUGAAGAGAGGUCCGCAAGGAACUCGAAUUAUUACGCUCGGUUGUCUGCGGAAAUCUGCCAGAGUUUUUCAUCUAAGAUAUGGACGAGUUGGUUGGCCUCCUCAUGGAGUGUCGCCUACACUGAAUGGGGCUUACAUUGGGAAAUUU